rnacentral:rRNA from 1 species
UCAGUCGACUCCUACGGGGAGGCAGCAGUGGGGGAAUAGUUGCACAAUGGGCGCAAGCCUGAUGCAGCCAUGCCGCGUGUGUGAAGAAGGCCUUCGGGUUGUAAAGCACUUUCAGUCGUGAGGAAGGUAGUGUAGUUAAUAGCUGCAUUAUUUGACGUUAGCGACAGAAGAAGCACCGGCUAACUCCGUGCCAGCAGCCGCGGUAAUACGGAGGGUGCGAGCGUUAAUCGGAAUUACUGGGCGUAAAGCGCAUGCAGGUGGUUUGUUAAGUCAGAUGUGAAGACCCGGGGCGUCAACCUCGGAAUAGCAUUUGAAACUAGGCAGACUAGAGUACUGUAGAGGGGGGUAGGAAUUUCAGGUGUAGCGGUGAAAUGCGUAGAGAUCUGAAGGAAUACCAGUGGCGAAGGCGGCCCCCUCGGACAAAGACUGACGCUCAGAUGCGAAAGCGUGGGGAGCAAACAGGAUUAGAUACCCUGGUAG